AACUCAGACAGCCUAAUGCCUGAUUCAGGGCUGCUUCCUCUGUUCCCAUUGGGCUCACCAUAGAAGGGCUGCUCUGAAGAGGGUGCUGUCCUCGGUGUGCAGUGAAAGCAAUGGGGAAGCAGUGACCUGACGGAUGAGAAGAAGGACUUGCCGGUCCCCAGGAGAGGAGGAUCCAGGCUGUGAGCACUGCAGAUCCUUCCUGUGCCCACGAGAUGCCGGUGCUGCCAAGUCACAGCCAAUUCCUAGCACCUGUGUGUCCAUCAUCAGAGGACCGCCUACCUCUUUCUCCUGAAAUCUUAAACAAAGAUGAUGCCGAGGCCUGAAAAAAUGUUGUCUUGCUCAGUUGUCUGAAAGGCGCCAGAGCUACUGACACGUGUGGUCUGGCCCUCUGGACUCAGCUGCUUCCCAGUGCUGGCAGGAAUUCCUCCCCUGUCUCAGCUCCCAUCACCGGCUCAUCACAGAGAUGGCCAGAUACUCGUCUCUUUUUAUCAUGACCAAGAAUGCUUUGGAUUCUUCAUGAAACUGACAAACUGUAAAUUUAAAAAAUUACACCAACUUAGGCUAAAGUAGGGAAAAGAAAAAGGUUGCUUCCCACACAGAAUGCCUGUCUUUUGUCCCCACUACUUGUUCCACACCCAGCCAUGUCAAACAUUUGCAGUAGUUUAUGUGGCCAUUGUGUUUCUAAUCUAUGGUGUACUAAGAUUUCAACUUCUCAUAAAACUCCUUUUUUUUAUUAAGUGUGAAAAUCAAUCUCUGACAGAGAAUUUGUAAUAAAAUUCACUUUAUGUUCACCUCAAAUGUGCAGCAUUUGUGACAAUAAAAAAAUCUAAUAUUU